UAAUGUUUUUCUGGAGCUCUGAAGAUGUUUUGUUAAAGUCUAUAUAUUUACUUGUGUUUUAUAGAAACAUGCUUUUGAGGAUCUUGUUAUUUGACUUGGAAGCUACCUCCAGUGUUUACCGAGAUGAUUACCACUAUGCAAUUUGGAUUUGGCUUGCUUGAUGCUGGACGAUUAAUGAAGGAAGCCCUAACUGGACAAAGAAAAGGAUUGACAACAAGAUGUGGAUGUUCAUCUUUAAUGAACUGUAGUCACCAAGUGAAAAUCAGCUAAUUUUGAUGAUGCAACUGACCACCUACUCAGCAAUAGCUGAAUAUUUACUCCUUCAC